rnacentral:rRNA from 1 species
AUCCGCACGAGCGCACCCCCACCAUUAGUUGCCAUCAGUUCGGCUGGGCACUCUAGUGGGACUGCCGGUGCUAANCCGGAGGAGGGUGGGGAUGACGCCAAGUCCUCAUGGCCUUUAUGUCCAGGGCCACUCACGUGCUACAAUGGUCGGUACAGAGGGUCGCGAAACCGCGAGGUGGAGCCAAUCCCACAAAGCCGGCCUUAGUUCGGAUUGGAGUCUGCAAUUCGACUCCAUGAAGGUGGAAUCGCUAGUAAUCGCGNAUCAGNAUGCCGCGGUGAAUACGUUCCCGGGCCUUGUACACACCGCCCGUCACACCAUGGGAGUGGNCUGCAAAAGAAGUGGAUAGCUUAACCUUCGGGAGGNCGUUCACCACUUUGUGGUUCAUGACUGGGGUGAAGUCGUAACAAGGUAGCCGUAGGGGAACCUGCGGCUGGAUCACCUCCUU